rnacentral:rRNA from 1 species
ACUCAAAUGAAUUGACGGGGAUCCGCACAAGCGGUGGAGCGCGUGGUUUAAUUCGUUAAUAAACGAAGAACCUCACCAAGGCUUGACAUGUAUAGAACUUUCAGGAAACUGAGAGGUGCCGCAAGGAGCUAUAACACAGGUGUUGCAUGGCUGUCGUCAGUUCGUGUUGUGAGAUGUUGGGUUAAGUCCCUUAACGAACGCAACCCUCAUCGUAUGUUACAUUACUUACGAGACUGCCUCGCUAAAACGAGGAGGAAGGUGGGGAUGACGUCCAGUCCUCAUUGCCCUUAUGCCUUGGGCUACACACACGCUACAAUGGGCGAGACAAAGGGUCGCGAAGCAGCAAUGCGGAGCUAAUCCCAUAAACUCGCUCUCAGUUCGGAUUGUCGGCUGAAACUCGCCGGCAUGAAGUUGGAAUCGCUAGUAACCGUGUGUCAGCAAGGCACGGUGAAUACGUUCUCGGAUCUUGCACACACCGCCCGU